rnacentral:rRNA from 1 species
GAUGAACGUUGGCGGCGUGCUUAACACAUGCAAGUCGAACGGUGAACGAGGGAGCUUGCUCCCUCCGGAUCAGUGGCAAACGGGUGAGUAACACGUGAGCAAUCUGCCCUGGACUCUGGGAUAAGCGUUGGAAACGACGUCUAAUACCGGAUACGAGACGCGAAGGCAUCUUCAGCGUCUGGAAAGAACUUCGGUCCAGGAUGAGCUCGCGGCCUAUCAGGUAGUUGGUGAGGUAACGGCUCACCAAGCCUACGACGGGUAGCCGGCCUGAGAGGGUGACCGGCAACACUGGGACUGAGACACGGCCCAGACUCCUACGGGAGGCAGCAGUGGGGAAUAUUGCACAAUGGGCGCAAGCCUGAUGCAGCAACGCCGCGUGAGGGACGACGGCCUUCGGGUUGUAAACCUCUUUUAGCAGGGAAGAAGCGAAAGUGACGGUACCUGCAGAAAAAGCACCGGCUAACUACGUGCCAGCAGCCGCGGUAAGAC